AUCUUCGAAGACAUCCGAUAAAAUUAAAACGACAAAGAGAAGAUUAGUAUGGCCCUUGCGCAAGGAUGGCAUGCACAAAUCAAGAAAUGCUCCAAAUUUCU
rfam:Musa acuminata subsp. malaccensis Doubled-haploid Pahang (DH-Pahang) genomic chromosome, chr1